rnacentral:lncRNA from 1 species
CCAGUGGCGUUUUGGUCCGGGAAAGGCCCUGACCUGUGGCCACACAUUAUGUAACCAUGCCACGUGAAGUGCAUUAGGUGAUCACUCACAUGAGUCUGUGCCUGGCUUAGAGACACUGUUGUCUACAAAAGGUAUAAUUACCCUGCUAGCGGCUAUACAUAGGGCUUGUGCCCAGAAAGAGGAUAAAGCCAUAUCAAAACUCCCUACGAUUCCUGUAGUGUUUUUCCAGCUACUCCCCCACCGACUCCCCUCGGACCUCAGUUUGGGAUAGAACCUGACAAUUGGUGUCAUGAACAGGAUCCUGAGAUUUAGAAGCAGUGGCGUCCCUCUUGCGGCAACAUUUAGCAGCAUGUGGUUGGGCCGUCAACGAAUCCAAGGUCCAAGGUCCUGGAUUAUCUGCCAGAUUCUUGGGAGUUAUCUGGUCAGGUUGGGACCUUGGUGAUACCAGUGGGUGCCUAGAGAAAGAAGUGUGCUGUCUCAGGCUCCUACAGGACGCCGUGGUUUGCUGGUCUCCAGGGUGGAUGGAUG